UCUUCUAUCAAUUGCUAGUGUAUGAAUAUUUCACAAUUUGGUGUUUCUCAGUGGUUUUUUUGAGAUAAAUUAUAACUUAAUUUAAUGUUUGUUGUAUAUAGAAACUAGAAAGAGAUCAUCCUGGGAAAAGUCAGUUAAUGGAGGAUUACUUUCAUGAGAGAAGGUAAGCUAACCCAAGGUCACUUGAUGCGGAUUAUUUGUUUCCAGUCUUUCUCUGAUUAGUUCUUUUCCAUGCC
rnacentral:lncRNA from 1 species